GGGUAAGUCCUACACGACCAGCUCCCGUUGAAUCUCCCAGGACCGGAAGGUAGCAAGUGUAAACGGUUGAGCGGUGCGAUGCAGUCAGCUUACCCUUU
rnacentral:SRP_RNA from 1 species